rnacentral:rRNA from 1 species
AUUGACCGCUGGCGGCAGACGUAACACAUGCAAGUCUAGCGAGCGGCGGACGGGUGAGUAAUGUCUGGGAAACUGCCUGAUGGAGGGGGAUAACUACUGGAAACGGUAGCUAAUACCGCAUACCAUCAGAUGUGCCCAGAUGGGAUUAGCGAGUUGGUGGGGUAAUGGCUCAACAAGGCGACGAUCCCUAGCUGGUCUGAGAGGAUGACCAGCAACACGGGAACUGAGAAACGGUCCAGACUCCUACGGGAGGAAGCAGGGGGGAAUAUGGCACAAUGGGCGAAAGCCGGAUGCAGCCAUGCCGCGUGUAUGAAGAAGGCCUUCGGGUUGUAAAGCACUUUCAGCGAGGAGGCUUUACUCGCAGAAGAAGCACCGGCUAACUCCGUGCCAGCAGCCGCGGUAAUUC